UUUUUCAACAUAGGAAAGAAUUUUGCUUUUCUUAUUCUACAAUCCAUAUCUUCCUUCACCACAGGCAUGGCUCAUCCUCAAUGUAAAUCAUGACUCCCCAUCAAGCCCCCUCUCUUUUUUUUUUUUUUUUUUUUUGUCUUUUUGCUAUUUCUUGGGCCACUCCCGCAGCAUAUGGAGGUUCCCAGGCUAGGGGUCGAAUCGGAGCUGUAACCUCCGGCCUACGCCAGAGCUACAGCAACGUGAGAUCCGAGCCAUGUCUGCAACCUACACCAUAGCUCACGGCAACGCCGGAUUGUUAACCCAAUGAGCAAGGACAGGGACCAAACCCGCAACCUCAUGGUUCCUAGUCGGAUUCGUUAACCACUGCGCCACAACGGGAACUCCAAGCCCCCUCUCUUAUGGGGAGUAGAGAGCAAAUAAACACCAAAGAGGAAAGACAAUGGCAUAUUUUUUAUUCAGUGCCAUUAAAAUUAUAAUAAAGAUUUGUUGGUAGAUGCUUUUGGCACUCUUAGCAUGAUAAUUGCUGUCCAUUAGGGAGGGACAGGGCACUCUUCCAGUUAAGGCUAAACUUCCCAUUGAUUGUUAGAUGUUUACAGAGUACCGGAUGUGUCCAGCAUUUCAGGGCCAAGCAUCAUGAGUAAUCCCAGCAUGUAGGAUUAGUAACCUUGUUGAAACCUUAUUUAUUCCAUAAUUAUCAUUUCUAUACUCCCUCUUUACUUCAGUAUUAGAAGCAGCAAUGCUGACAGUUGGAAGAAAUUUAAUUACUAAUAUGAGAUAGCUUAAAAUCAUGAUCAUAGUAGGAAGAGAAUAUACAGUAAUUCUAGAACAUUUCAUUUGAAAAAAAGAAAUUAAAAUAUACCUGCAUUCCCACCUCCUGGGAUUAAACAUUGUGUUUUCUCUUGUCCCCUUCCUAUGUGUAUGUGACAAGUGACUCCAUGCCUUCCAAAUGCUGUUCCCCCGUGUCCUGUCCAAGUCCCCUUUCCUGGCUGUAGCAUCUUUUACCAUCACCCCAAUCCCGCUCCCUAACCUGUCAGUAAUGCUCACUUAUUGAAAGUGCUCAUUCAGGGGAGAUUUGCUUUUGUUCCCCUGGGAUGUUGGUUUCAUUCUUGACUGGUACCCCUUUUUGCUGCCUCCCUAAGCCGUGGAUCUGGAACCUUGCAACCUGUCACUGGAAGCACCCUUAGUUUUCCUCUGCUUCUCACCUGUCCCAACACAGAUCUGAGCAGCAGGGGAGAGAGAAGUCACUCUGUUACCUGCUCCCCAUCACAACCAAGCUGAUGUCCACCAUACUGGGCCACCUGGGACUCUGAGGGUGACAUUGUAGCCCCCACUGUGUUGGUGGUGGUUGUUUUCCUCUCUCACAAAGAAGGGAUGGGGCUCUCUGGUCAACCUCUGAACACUGGUCCCUCAGGACCUUGAAUUUACUGCACUUACUGGAAACUCCCAGGGCCCUCUGGCACUUCGGUCACUUCUGUCCCCACUGCUGGAUGCUCUCCUGUGUGAAACCUCUGCCUCCCUCCCUUUCCCUUUCUCUCACAGCCUCCUGGGGCUUGACCUCCACAGUCAGUGCUCUUACAAGAUUUGGGGGGAAUCAGCAAGACUCCCCCCCUCAGGCCCCUUCCUUCACGCCCACCCUUGCACCUGUGGGGACACAGUAGAUGUAUGUAAACAGACACAUACAGGCCACACAGCUGGAUGCUAGGUAUUCAGUUUGAUCCUGGAGACAUUUAACGUAGCAGCACACACUGUGAAUUAUGUAAGUUUGAGCCUGAAGACCAACAGGAACCUACUGCAAACUCCAGUGGUAGGAAUCAUUCAUAUGCAGUAUAUACAUGAUCGUUGAUGUCGGACUGUGUUCAUCAAACCAAGCUGCUAGAACACAAUACCGUGGAGUGAGUGCUUUAUAAACAACAAAUGUGCUCCUCCCAGUUCUGGAGGCUGGACUUCUGAGAUCGGCGUGGCUGGGUUCUGGUGAGAGUCUGGUCACAGACAGCAGACUUGUAUCCUUGUGUGGCAGAAAGAAGGAAUGGGUUUGUCUGGGGUUUCUUUUUUAAGGGCACUAAUCCUUUUCAUGGGGGCUACACCCUCCUGACCUAAUUACCUCCUCAUACCACCCUUGUACCAUCACAUUGGGGUCUAGGAUUUUAGUGUAUGAAUUUGGGAGGGAUAAACAUUCAUUUCAUUGCACUGACACAUGGGUGAGUGACACACUGGGAUAGUUUAGUCACAUCCAAAUCUACAGAUUUGCCAUCUAAAUUCAGUCCCCAAGCAAACAUUCCCUCUCCUAUGGACUCCCCUGUGCUUGUCACAGCUGGUGCUGGAUAAAAUACCUAUGAGCUGGGUGACACAUCCUAAAACUGUUCUUUGCUUCAAGGAGAGUGGGUUUGUCUCAAACCACUUUCAGUGUAUGUAGAGCUUGAUUCCCUUGUUUCACACAUUCCUGUUCACCUGGUUACAUGGAGUGGGGUUAUGAUGCACAGGGUGGCCAACUGACAUCCCAGACAACUUGGGGAAAGAAAAGAAGAGAAACAGUCCCUGAAACACAGCAGGAUUAUUGAUUAGAGCUCUUUUCAGAACUCACUGGGCCAGGCUCACUGAGUGUAUUAUGAAGCCAUGCAUUAAAGUUGUUAUCCAGUCAUUGUGAUAACUUAUAAUAUUAACUAACUCUAUUGUGAUAACAUGCAGUCAUUUUACUGUUAUACAUAUUGCUUUUAAAGCCAUUUGUUGUGCCUUUAUGAAGUACCUAGUGGUGCCCUGGAAUGGAGACAUCGCAUAGUUCAAAUGCACUGAGUCUUUGUUAUUCUUUGUUUUGCUUUGUCUCUUCCUCUCAAGAUGAAAUUACAGAUACUUUUGUGGAGAGAGACUCGGACACAGAAGGGUUGGGGGUAGGGGUUUGCUCAUGCUUCUGGAGUCCUCUGGGACACUUUGGCUGUCAGUGCAGAUGGUUUAAGGAAGUGGAAUUGUGAUAAUGUUCCUUUUCUUUGCUCUUCUUUGUCCAAUUUUGAUGUUGCUGAAAUCUGGCAACUCAUGGUUGAUUUUGCUGAUUCACAUCCCUGAUCAUUUGAUAGAGCAUGUAGUUCAAUUCAACCUUAAAUACAAAGGGAACUGAAUUGCCAUUCAAAUAAAGAAGCUUUUCCAUUUUUAGGUAGAAGGAGAUGAUAUGUUUUGUGAAGGCACACAGACCUGAAAUCAACCUGAUGAAUUUUUCAUAUGGCUUUUCAUUUUCUUUCAAUUUAUCCACUAGUUCUCUUUCAACAUCUAACAUUUUCAGCAGCCCAGGCACAGUGAUUCAUGGAUGAGGUACAAGCAUUUUCUAGGUCUAGUUCAGGUGACACACAAGCUGUGGGGACUGUCUUCCCCACACAUACAUUAGGUGGCAAGAGCAAAAUGCACACCGCUUUCAUUUUUACCUUGUUUGAUGAACUUGCCUGCAUGAUUGAGUUGUGGUGGUGGUCCUAUAAGUGUUUGUUAACAAGUUGUGGUGAAAAUUCACUGGUUAUGAAGCCGGAGCUUCCAGGCUGCUUAUGCCACUAACUCAUGUCCUUUUGAAACUUCUUCGGGCUCCUGUUCUGCACCACUGUGAACAGGGGAUAGAGCAUGGCUGAGUCCAGUUCAGUUAAAAAAGCUCCUCUCUCUAGGUAAAUUUUAGUGUUGAACUUGUUUUCUAAUUCUGAUAUUUAUUUCAAUCCCACAGUGUUCUAUUGAUGUCAGCCUCUAAUUAUUCUAGGCAACCACGUAAUGAGUGUUGACUCAUUAAAUGUCACAACCACUCUGAGAAGUGGAUGCUGUUUUAUAGGUGGAAAACUGAGGCCCAGGUAAGAUACCUUGUCCAAGGUCAAAGCACCACAGAUAGGACAGGUCAGAUUUGAAUAAUGCUGGCAGGAGUCUGGAUUCUUUGUUCUGAGUCACUGAACCGUGCUCCUGUUUUUUGUUUUUGUUUUUCCCCCUCUGCACCUGAGGCAUAUAGAAGUUCCUAGCCAGAGGGAGAAUCAGAGAUGUAGCUGAGGGCAUAGCCACAGCAAUGCCAGAUCUGAGAUGCAUCUUUGACCUACACCACAGCUCAUGGCAACACUGGAUCCUUAACCCACUGAGUGAGGCCAGGGAUCAAACCUGCAUCCUCACAGACACUAUUUCAGUUCUUAACCCUCUGAGCCACAACAGGAACUCCCAUUCCUUUUCUUAGAGAAAAAGAGAAAUGCAAGCAUUUCUUGAAAUUGUAGGACUUCAAGAGUUCAGAACUGAUUCAAGUCUAUAUAUCGUGUACCAAUUAAACUUUAAUAUUUUUAAAAGCUAUGUUCGUUUAAUUGAUCCUACUUUAAUGUCUGGCAAUAUGAUUACAUUUUUUUCUUUAUAUGCCAGCUUAGUUUUCAUGAUUUAUCAGGAUAUUUUUCUUCAAUGUUGAAAGGAUUAAUGAGGAUACAAAAAAUUACUUUUAGACACUUACUUAUCUCAUUACAAUGCAUCCCAUUAUAAAUAAGGUCAAAGAUAUCAGUAGAAGGAUCUUUGUGUGGGGGAUGUAGCAGUUGGCUCAGAUAAAUGUGCACUUACCACUGGGUAGAUGGACUUGGCUAUUUUUCACAAACUGUUCAAUGAGCACAAUGUCAUGUAAGAUACCAACAUACGUGAAGGAAGGUCAGUAGCAAUCAUAAUGUUAAUGCAGCUUUAACAUAAAUGUAUAAAGUCAGUGACUCAGUAGAAGUAUUACGAUUUUCUUUAUCACAGAAACACACUUUUCUAGACCUAAUUAUUUACUCUUUAACAAAUUACUUAGCUAAAUUUGGAAGCUUUAGGGAAUUUAUUAUUAUUAUUAUUUAAAAUUUCAUAUUAUUUGUUUUCAUUUUUUAAAGUUUUACUAACAUAUAGAUGAUUUACAAUGUUGUGCUAGUUUCUGCUAUCAACGAAGUGAUUCAGAUAUAUGUGUACACACAUCCAUUCUCUUUCAGAUUCUUUUUUUACCUACAUUAUUAUUAUUAUUUAAACAAACAUAGUUGGCACAAGGCCUCACCUUGAGUUACUUUAAGGUGACUUCUUGGGGUAAAGACAUGCUCAGAGGUGCUGCGCAGGUGGGCAGGGGAGGAUUCACAUCCCUGUGGGGACCAGGGUAUAAGCACAGGUGUGUGAGCCUCUGUCCCUGAUCUCAGAGAGGUGACUUUCAGAUCUGGGUUGCAAGGGAUUGUUUUAGAUAACUGAAAUAUUACUUCCAUGAAUUUCCUUUAUUAGGUAAUUAACACUACCAGUUAUAAGAAAUAAAACUUGGCAAGCUAGGGCCUGUAGCCAACAAAGGUUAUUUCUGUUCACGUCACUGCCACUGUGGGUUCAGCAGGCAGCCCACCUAAACCAGGCAGGCAGCAACACAACAUGCGUGUGUUACUCAGUGUCAUUUAUCAAACACAUCAUCAAAUACACAGAGACUGUAGCUUCCAUUAGAUCUCGUAGCAAGUGCAUGGACAUUUCUAGUGUUCUUAAUCUCCCGCCCUUCCCCAAAAUAUAUAUCUUGGAGCCCCUUCAUCUUCCUUUCUAAUGGAAGCAUGGGUUUUUUCCUUUUUAAACAUUAUUUAAAAGCCAUUGAUAGGAGUUCCCUGUGGCUCAGUGGAUUAAGGACCUAGCAUUGUCACAGCUGUGGCUCAAGAUUCAAUCCCUGGCCUAGGAAUUUCCAAUGCUGUGGAUUGGCCAGAAAGAAAAAAAAAAAAA
rnacentral:lncRNA from 1 species